UGGGGAAUUUUGGACAAUGGGGGCAACCCUGAUCCAGCAAUGCCGCGUGUGUGAAGAAGGCCUUCGGGUUGUAAAGCACUUUUGUCCGGAAAGAAAACUUCGGGGCUAAUACCCCUGGAGGAUGACGGUACCGGAAGAAUAAGCACCGGCUAACUACGUGCCAGCAGCCGCGGUAAUACGUAGGGUGCGAGCGUUAAUCGGAAUUACUGGGCGUAAAGCGUGCGCAGGCGGUGCUGUAAGACCGAUGUGAAAUCCCCGGGCUUAACCUGGGAACUGCAUUGGUGACUGCAGCGCUGGAGUGUGGCAGAGGGGGGUGGAAUUCCACGUGUAGCAGUGAAAUGCGUAGAGAUGUGGAGGAACACCGAUGGCGAAGGCAGCCCCCUGGGCCAAUACUGACGCUCAUGCACGAAAGCGUGGGGAGCAAACAGG
rnacentral:rRNA from 1 species